AACUUGGUUGGCCCCGCGUAUUCUUGGGACAUAACACAUAUUUAAGACUGUUAUUGCUUGAGAAUACACGUAGUUGACAAGU
rnacentral:pre_miRNA from 1 species